ACUAAGCGUACACGGUGGAUGCCCUGGCAGUCAGAGGCGAUGAAGGACGUGCUAAUCUGCGAUAAGCGUCGGUAAGGUGAUAUGAACCGUUAUAACCGGCGAUUUCCGAAUGGGGAAACCCAGUGUGAUUCGUCACACUAUCAUUAACUGAAUCCAUAGGUUAAUGAGGCGAACCGGGGGAACUGAAACAUCUAAGUACCCCGAGGAAAAGAAAUCAACCGAGAUUCCCCCAGUAGCGGCGAGCGAACGGGGAGCAGCCCAGAGCCUGAAUCAGUGUGUGUGUUAGUGGAAGCGUCUGGAAAGGCGUGCGAUACAGGGUGACAGCCCCGUACACAAAAAUGCACAUGCUGUGAGCUCGAUGAGUAGGGCGGGACACGUGGUAUCCUGUCUGAAUAUGGGGGGACCAUCCUCCAAGGCUAAAUACUCCUGACUGACCGAUAGUGAACCAGUACCGUGAGGGAAAGGCGAAAAGAACCCCGGCGAGGGGAGUGAAAAAGAACCUGAAACCGUGUACGUACAAGCAGUGGGAGCACGCUUAGGCGUGUGACUGCGUACCUUUUGUAUAAUGGGUCAGCGACUUAUAUUCUGUAGCAAGGUUAACCGAAUAGGGGAGCCGAAGGGAAACCGAGUCUUAACUGGGCGUUAAGUUGCAGGGUAUAGACCCGAAACCCGGUGAUCUAGCCAUGGGCAGGUUGAAGGUUGGGUAACACUAACUGGAGGACCGAACCGACUAAUGUUGAAAAAUUAGCGGAUGACUUGUGGCUGGGGGUGAAAGGCCAAUCAAACCGGGAGAUAGCUGGUUCUCCCCGAAAGCUAUUUAGGUAGCGCCUCGUGAAUUCAUCUCCGGGGGUAGAGCACUGUUUCGGCAAGGGGGUCAUCCCGACUUACCAACCCGAUGCAAACUGCGAAUACCGGAGAAUGUUAUCACGGGAGACACACGGCGGGUGCUAACGUCCGUCGUGAAGAGGGAAACAACCCAGACCGCCAGCUAAGGUCCCAAAGUCAUGGUUAAGUGGGAAACGAUGUGGGAAGGCCCAGACAGCCAGGAUGUUGGCUUAGAAGCAGCCAUCAUUUAAAGAAAGCGUAAUAGCUCACUGGUCGAGUCGGCCUGCGCGGAAGAUGUAACGGGGCUAAACCAUGCACCGAAGCUGCGGCAGCGACACUGUGUGUUGUUGGGUAGGGGAGCGUUCUGUAAGCCUGCGAAGGUGUGCUGUGAGGCAUGCUGGAGGUAUCAGAAGUGCGAAUGCUGACAUAAGUAACGAUAAAGCGGGUGAAAAGCCCGCUCGCCGGAAGACCAAGGGUUCCUGUCCAACGUUAAUCGGGGCAGGGUGAGUCGACCCCUAAGGCGAGGCCGAAAGGCGUAGUCGAUGGGAAACAGGUUAAUAUUCCUGUACUUGGUGUUACUGCGAAGGGGGGACGGAGAAGGCUAUGUUGGCCGGGCGACGGUUGUCCCGGUUUAAGCGUGUAGGCUGGUUUUCCAGGCAAAUCCGGAAAAUCAAGGCUGAGGCGUGAUGACGAGGCACUACGGUGCUGAAGCAACAAAUGCCCUGCUUCCAGGAAAAGCCUCUAAGCAUCAGGUAACAUCAAAUCGUACCCCAAACCGACACAGGUGGUCUGGUAGAGAAUACCAAGGCGCUUGAGAGAACUCGGGUGAAGGAACUAGGCAAAAUGGUGCCGUAACUUCGGGAGAAGGCACGCUGAUAUGUAGGUGAAGUCCCUCGCGGAUGGAGCUGAAAUCAGUCGAAGAUACCAGCUGGCUGCAACUGUUUAUUAAAAACACAGCACUGUGCAAACACGAAAGUGGACGUAUACGGUGUGACGCCUGCCCGGUGCCGGAAGGUUAAUUGAUGGGGUCAGCGCAAGCGAAGCUCUUGAUCGAAGCCCCGGUAAACGGCGGCCGUAACUAUAACGGUCCUAAGGUAGCGAAAUUCCUUGUCGGGUAAGUUCCGACCUGCACGAAUGGCGUAAUGAUGGCCAGGCUGUCUCCACCCGAGACUCAGUGAAAUUGAACUCGCUGUGAAGAUGCAGUGUACCCGCGGCAAGACGGAAAGACCCCGUGAACCUUUACUAUAGCUUGACACUGAACAUUGAGCCUUGAUGUGUAGGAUAGGUGGGAGGCUUUGAAGUGUGGACGCCAGUCUGCAUGGAGCCGACCUUGAAAUACCACCCUUUAAUGUUUGAUGUUCUAACGUUGACCCGUGAUCCGGGUUGCGGACAGUGUCUGGUGGGUAGUUUGACUGGGGCGGUCUCCUCCUAAAGAGUAACGGAGGAGCACGAAGGUUGGCUAAUCCUGGUCGGACAUCAGGAGGUUAGUGCAAUGGCAUAAGCCAGCUUGACUGCGAGCGUGACGGCGCGAGCAGGUGCGAAAGCAGGUCAUAGUGAUCCGGUGGUUCUGAAUGGAAGGGCCAUCGCUCAACGGAUAAAAGGUACUCCGGGGAUAACAGGCUGAUACCGCCCAAGAGUUCAUAUCGACGGCGGUGUUUGGCACCUCGAUGUCGGCUCAUCACAUCCUGGGGCUGAAGUAGGUCCCAAGGGUAUGGCUGUUCGCCAUUUAAAGUGGUACGCGAGCUGGGUUUAGAACGUCGUGAGACAGUUCGGUCCCUAUCUGCCGUGGGCGCUGGAGAACUGAGGGGGGCUGCUCCUAGUACGAGAGGACCGGAGUGGACGCAUCACUGGUGUUCGGGUUGUCAUGCCAAUGGCACUGCCCGGUAGCUAAAUGCGGAAGAGAUAAGUGCUGAAAGCAUCUAAGCACGAAACUUGCCCCGAGAUGAGUUCUCCCUGACUCCUUGAGAGUCCUGAAGGAACGUUGAAGACGACGACGUUGAUAGGCCGGGUGUGUAAGCGCAGCGAUGCGUUGAGCUAACCGGUACUAAUGAACCGUGAGGCUUAACC
rnacentral:rRNA from 1 species